GACGAACGCUGGCGGCGUGCUUAACACAUGCAAGUCGAACGAUGAAGCUGGAGCUUGCUCCAGUGGAUUAGUGGCGAACGGGUGAGUAACACGUGAGCAAUCUGCCCUUGACUCUGGGAUAACUGCGGGAAACUGUAGCUAAUACCGGAUACGACACCUUGGGGCAUCCCAGGGUGUGGAAAGAAUUUCGGUCAAGGAUGAGCUCGCGGCCUAUCAGCUAGUUGGUGAGGUAAUGGCUCACCAAGGCGACGACGGGUAGCCGGCCUGAGAGGGUGACCGGCCACACUGGAACUGAGAUACGGUCCAGACUCCUACGGGAGGCAGCAGUGGGGAAUUUUCCGCAAUGGGCGAAAGCCUGACGGAGCAAUACCGCGUGAGGGAAGAAUGCCUAUGGGUUGUAAACCGUCUUUUUUCAGGGAGGAAUAAAAUAGACGUGUACCUGAAGAAUAAGCAUCGGCUAACUCCGUG
rnacentral:rRNA from 1 species